UCAUUUAGAGGAAGUAAAAGUCGUAACAAGGUCUCCGUUGGUGAACCAGCGGAGGGAUCAUUA
rnacentral:rRNA from 20 species